GUGGGGAAUAUUGCACAAUGGGCGCAAGCCUGAUGCAGCCAUGCCGCGUGUGUGAAGAAGGCCUUCGGGUUGUAAAGCACUUUCAGUAAGGAGGAAAGGUUGGAUGUUAAUAGCAUUCAGCUGUGACGUUACUUACAGAAGAAGCACCGGCUAACUCCGUGCCAGCAGCCGCGGUAAUACGGAGGGUGCGAGCGUUAAUCGGAAUUACUGGGCGUAAAGCGUACGCAGGCGGUUUGUUAAGCGAGAUGUGAAAGCCCCGGGCUCAACCUGGGAACUGCAUUUCGAACUGGCAAACUAGAGUGUGAUAGAGGGUGGUAGAAUUUCAGGUGUAGCGGUGAAAUGCGUAGAGAUCUGAAGGAAUACCGAUGGCGAAGGCAGCCACCUGGGUCAACACUGACGCUCAUGUACGAAAGCGUGGGGAGCAAACAGGAUUAGAUACCCUAGUAGUCC
rnacentral:rRNA from 1 species